rnacentral:lncRNA from 1 species
CGGGAUCGGGAAGCGAAGAUUGGCCCGGAGGUCCUCGACGUAGAAGGCCACCUGGCCCUCAGGCGGGUUGUUAACCCGACUGUUGGCCCCAGGGGCGAACAGCUGGAACUGCUCUGGGAUGUAGUACUACUCCCGGAGCCGAUCAACGUUCGGCUCCGAAAGUGAAGAGACCUCCACCUCCGGGGUCGACCGAGGAUUGUCAGUCGGA